UCAAGUUUUUAAAUUUUUGUGGGGUCAAUCUCUCUAUUCUUAUGUAAUUCUCUUUUUUACUUAUCUGCUUACUAAAUAAAUGCCUACCAUAACAUCUCUUUGUGACCACUCCCCUCAUGCUUGUAGUGGUCUAGAAGUCAAAUGCAAGAACCUAAUUCUUCCUGCACUGUAAGAACGGAUGCCGUUCCUAACGGAUGGCAGCGUCAUUACCUUUUGUUUCUUGGCAGAAGCUGAUCUCAAGUUGCAGUCUCGCGGGUUCUGGUUUUAAUGGACUGUGCAAAGAAAAAGGUCAUGCUGCAACAAUAUUGGUGGUACCUCCAAAGAGUGUACCGAAGAGACCCAACCCCAAGGAGAGCAUCAACGAGGCUGAUGUUCGAAUUAGGAGUAGUUGAGAGGGGCAAGCUAGAUUCACUCUUUCUCUCUACUGUUUAAGCAACCAGAUGAGACUAUGGAUUCAGAGGGUUUCUCCAUUGUCGAAAACAAACACUACAAGUGAAGAUUGCGAAAAGUGUGAAACUCUCUCGUUGAAGAUCUUUUGAUACAAUCAAGGUAUGUAUGAUAUUCUUUACUAUGGCUAUGUAUUAAUAAUAUUCUUAUGCUAAAUGUUUUAUGGGGUUCUUUACCGUUGGAAAAGAAUACGUAAGAAUACGUAGAGUGAAAAUUACCAAAACUUAAACCUCUCGUCCAAUAUCUUCCGGUGUAAUCAAGGUAUGAAAUUCUUUGUUACACUAGGUUUUUAAUAAUACUCUCUUUUGAUAGGUUUUUUCCUAUAUUCUUAUAUUAGUGUGACAUAAACUAUGCUAGUUAUUUUCACAUUCUUUACUUUUUCACUAGUGCUUAGGUAUUUAUUUUGGAGUAUGCAAUUGGCAUUAAUCCUUAGAUUAUAAUACUUUGAUUGAGGUGAGUUUAUCUAUAAAUAUUUAUAUAAAUAUGACACAUUUAUGAGUAGAAAUAGCUCAAGAGACCAAUGGCUAUAGCCUUUUAUUGACCCACAACAACUCGCUUCUUCACUUCCUCCUUGUCCUCCUCCUCAUCUUUUCCCUUUCUUCCUUGUCAUCCUCAUCUUCCUCUACUUUCUUGCCUUGCUCUUCCUCCUCAUCCUCCUCUUCCUCUUCUUUUAGUUCUUUUCUCUACAUUUACUUCUCCUUUCUUUGUUGAAAGAGUGGAACAAUCCCGUUUAAGAUCUUCUUUUGGCAGAAUACAUUGUAUUUUUAUUUUUCAUUCAAAUCUUUUGAUGGCUGAAAUUAGCAAUGUACACCAAACAAGCUAUGAUACAAAAAAAUCAGUAAAAAAAAAAAAAAAAAGAAGAAGAACAUAAAAAAAAUGAAUAAUGCAAAUCCACAAGCAUAAAAUAUAUGCAAAAGUAAUGUGAAUUUUGCAAGCCCUACGAGUCAAUAAAAGGCUAUAGCUAUAUAAAAAUAUGUACCAUAUUUAAACUUUUAUAUAUAAACUCCCCUUAAUCAUAGUAUUAUAUUCUACAUGAGUGAUAAUGCAAAUUGCUUAUUCUAAAAAAUAUAUAAGUACCAGUGAGAGAAAUCAUAAAAGUUUAGUGAGAAAGUAAAGAGGACGAAAACAACUUGCAUAAUCUAUAUGACACCAAUAUAAGCAUAUAGAAUAAAAAAUUAUUAAAAAAUAUUAUUAAAAUAUAGCAUAAUAAAGAGUCUCAUACCUUAAUUGAACCAAAAGAUCUUCACAAGAGAGUUUUGGUAAUCUCCACUCUUUAAGCAUUUAUUUUCAAAAGUGAAAACCCAUAAAACAACUAAUAUCGUCUAUAUAUGCCAUCGAUAUAAAAAUAUUACUAAAGCAUAAUGUAAUAAAGAAUCUCAUACUUUGAUUGUGCUGUAAAAUCUUUAACGAGAGAGUUUUACACUUUUGAAAAUCUCCACUCUAAUUCCGACAGUGGAUAACCCACAAAAUCCAUAACUCACUCCAUAAGUAUUACAUUACAACAUCUAAAUUGUACACAUAUUGUAUAAGAAUUAAAAGUUAACUCUACUAGACCAUACAAAUCCUCAGUUAUAUCAUUCAAGAUAAGUCAAUAUUAUUACGUAAAUUCAAUACUUCAGUAGUAGAGUUUUAAGUAGAUUUAUAGUUUUAAAUAUUAUUUAUAAUGUUGGCAUUGAUUUUGCAGCUAUGAAUAGUAAUUGUUUUGUGGUAGUGUGGCUAUGGUAGUGUACUUUGAUAUUGAGAAUUGUUUGUGGUAGUGGUGGUGAUGCCAUGGACCCAUGGUGGUGGACUUUGUUAUUUUGAAUAUUGUUUAUAACGUUUUUAUCAGUAAAUAAUUGUUUGUAUUUGUGGAA